CGGAAAAAAAAUGACCAGUAUAUAUGACCACAAAACUGUUCUCAAAUUUACUAUGACUCAUUAUAAUGAAAAUAACAGAAAAUUAGGUCAAAAGAACCGAAUUGUUGUAAAAAAUACUAUGCCUCCUACAAAAAUGCGAAAGUGGGGCUGACUACAUUUUGUAGUUAAACAUACUACGCUUUUUAUGGUAAAAUAUACCGUGUUCCUGGUGGAAUUCACCUUGCGAGUUACUGACGUUGAACAAUUCUACCAUUAUGCAUCUUUUAUUACCAUGAUUAUUGUCAACUCAAGCGUGUUGUACCGACAUUUUUCAGCUGACUAUGUUUGCUGUGCGAAUUUACUACAAUCAUGGUAAUAACAAGUGCACCUGGUGAAGGAAUAAUUGUCGGCCAUAUUGUUGAAAUGAAGAUGCCAUGAAACGUUUUACAUUGCGUAUUUUGAGUUUUGUUUUGUUAAAUUUGAAUAAAAAACAUUAAUAUAAUUAAGUGAGAAACAAGGUGGACAUGUCACAUACUCGGGUACAUGCAGGCAUACAGGAGACCGCAGAAAGACAGUUUUAGCUUGCAGGAAGGCCGCACAAACUAGAUCCGGAGUCUCGUUCUCUUCAUUCCGGGUUUGCUCGUAUUUGAGGUAAGAGCUUAUACCAUAAUUAACAGUUAAGUCGAAAACUAAAGUGAAAUUCUGUUUACAGAACUGCUCAUCAAAAGUAAGACAUCGGAGAACUUUCGGCGAGUGGAAACGGGAUACCUCCCGAUCCUCCUUUCCUGGAUAUUUUUGAAGCAAGCUACGAUUGCGAUUGAUUGCGGUUUAUAGAUGUUCUUCCGGAUUCGGUUAUGCAUAAAAACACAAUGCCAUUCGACUAGGCUAGUUUGUUCUUUUUUUUUUUAAUAAAUAAUCUGCAUGUGCUAA